rnacentral:rRNA from 1 species
GUGCAAAGGUAGCAUAAUCAUUUGGUUCUUAAUUGGAAUCUUGUAUGAAGGGGUUAACGAGAUUUUACUGUCUUAAAAAUAUUUUUUGAAUUUAUAAUUUUUGUAAUAAUACAAGAAUUUAGUUAAGGGACGAUAAGACCCUAUAAAGCUUUAUUUUAAURAUAAGCUGUYAUACAAUUCAGUUUGUUAAGAAAAUUUUACUGGGGCGGUACUUUAAUAAACUAGAGUUAAUAUAUUUGAUCCAAUUUUAUUGAGCAUAAGAUUAAGUUACUUUAGGGAUAACAGCAUAAUUCGCUUAGGGAGUUCAAAUCGAAAAGCGAGAUUAUGACCUCGAUGUUGAAUU